AUUGAACGCUGGCGGCAGGCCUAACACAUGCAAGUCGAACGAGUGGCGGAGGGGUGAGUAAGGGAUGGGAAACUGAGUGAUGGAGGGGGAUAAGUAGUGGAAACGGUAGCAAAUACCGCAUAGCAUGAGAUGGGGCGAGAUGGGAUGAGCUAGUAGGUGGGGUAACGGCUCACCUAGGCGACGAUCCCGAGCUGGUCUGAGAGGAUGACCAGCCACACUGGAACUGAGACACGGUCCAGACUCCUACGGGAUGCAGCAGUGGGGAAUAUUGCACAAUGGGCGCAAGCCUGAUGCAGCCAUGCCGCGUGUGUGAAGAAGGCCUUCGGGUUGUAAAGCACUUUCAGCGGGGAGGCGUUACCCGCAGAAGAAGCACCGGCUAACUCCGUGCCAGCAGCCGCGGUAAUAC
rnacentral:rRNA from 1 species